rnacentral:rRNA from 1 species
UACGUAGGGCGCAAGCGCUAUCCGGAAUUAUUGGGCGUAAAGAGCUCGUAGGCGGUUUGUCGCGUCUGCCGUGAAAGUCCGGGGCUCAACUCCGGAUCUGCGGUGGGUACGGGCAGACUAGAGUGAUGUAGGGGAGACUGGAAUUCCUGGUGUAGCGGUGGAAUGCGCAGAUAUCAGGAGGAACACCGAUGGCGAAGGCAGUUCUCUGGGCCGUAACUGACGCUGAGGAGCGAAAGCGUGGGGAGCGAACAGG